rnacentral:rRNA from 1 species
UACGAAGGGUGCAAACGUUGCUCGGAAUUAUUGGGCGUAAAGCGCACGUAGGCGGCAUUGCAAGUCGGAUGUGAAAUCCCUCGGCUUAACCAAGGAAGUGCAUCCGAAACUGCAGUGCUUGAGUACUUAAGAGGAUCGCGGAAUUCCCGGUGUAGAGGUGAAAUUCGUAGAUAUCGGGGAGGAACACCAGUGGCGAAAGGCGGCGAUCUGGGGAAAGAUACUGACGCUGAGGUGCGAAAAGCGUGGGGGAGCAAACAGG